rnacentral:rRNA from 1 species
UACAGAGGUCCCAAGCGUUGUUCGGAUUCAUUGGGCGUAAAGGGUGCGUAGGUGGCGCCAUAAGUCAGGUGUGAAAUUUCGGAGCUUAACUCCGAAACUGCAUUUGAUACUGUGGUGCUUGAGGACUGGAGAGGAGACUGGAAUUUACGGUGUAGCAGUGAAAUGCGUAGAGAUCGUAAGGAAGACCAGUGGCGAAGGCGGGUCUCUGGACAGUUCCUGACACUGAGGCACGAAGGCCAGGGGAGCAAACGGG